rnacentral:lncRNA from 1 species
UCGUGGUACAUUUCUCCAUCUUCCUGUUUCAAUGGGAAACUUUGUAUUACAUACCCUUAAUUUACAUAUAUUUACUCUAUGACCCCACCUUAAUUUUAACAGAUAUGGUUCUAAGCAAAACUCUUCUUUAAAGUGUAAAUAAAAUUCCCCCCUUGAUGAGUUAUUUAUAUCAGAGAACCAUUUUUGAAUAAACUGGUCCUGGAGACGCUGCCUCACAUUAGUUUUAAUAUAAUUAUAAUCAACUUGCUCCGGAAUAUUAUAUAUUUCACAAAAGCCACAGUCAUUAAACACAGAUUUUACAUAGUUAAACCAUUUGAAAUUAUAACCUUCAUGCUUAUGCAUGUACCAAAGUAACGUGUACAGUUUACCCGAUAAUUUUUUAUCGUUUGUUGCAAGCUUG